GACGUAGGGCGCGAGCGUUGUCCGGAUUUAUUGGGCGUAAAGAGCUCGUAGGCGGCUUGUCGCGUCGACUGUGAAAUCCCGCGGCUCAACUGCGGGUCUGCAGUCGAUACGGGCAGGCUAGAGUUCGGUAGGGGAGACUGGAAUUCCUGGUGUAGCGGUGAAAUGCGCAGAUAUCAGGAGGAACACCGAUGGCGAAGGCAGGUCUCUGGGCCGAUACUGACGCUGAGGAGCGAAAGCGUGGGGAGCGAACAG
rnacentral:rRNA from 1 species